rnacentral:rRNA from 1 species
AGAGUUUGAUCCUGGCUCAGAACGAACGCUGGCGGCGUGUUUAAGACAUGCAAGUCGCACGGAGUCAUUUGUGUAGCAAUACUUGAAUGGCUUAGUGGCGCACGGGUGAGUAACAUGUGAAUUACAUGCCCUAUAGUGGGGAAUAGCCCAGGGAAACUUGGAUUAAUACCCCAUGGUCUCGCAAGAGUAAAGGUGGCCGCAAGGCUGUCGCUAUAGGAUUGGUUCGCACCCUAUCAGCUUGUUGGUGAGGUAACGGCUCACCAAGGCUACGACGGGUACCUGGUCUGAGAGGACGAUCAGGCACACUGGAACUGAGACACGGUCCAGACACCUACGGGUGGCAGCAGUCGAGAAUAAUUCACAAUGGGGGCAACCCUGAUGGUGCAACGCCGCGUGGAGGAUGAAGGUCUUCGGAUUGUAAACUCCUGUCAUCUGGGAGUAAGACCUGGUCGUUAAUAGCGGACAGGGUUGAUAGUACCAGAAGAGGAAGGGACGGCUAACUUCGUGCCAGCAGCCGCGGUAAUACGAAGGUCCCGAGCGUUGUUCGGAAUCACUGGGCGUAAAGGGAGCGUAGGCGGCGUGGUAAGUCAGAUGUGAAAUCCCGGGGCUCAACCCCGGAACUGCAUCCGAUACUGCCGUGCUAGAGGAUUGGAGAGGUAGCUGGAAUUCUUGGUGUAGCAGUGAAAUGCGUGGAUAUCAAGAGGAACACUCGUGGCGAAAGCGAGCUACUGGACAACUCCUGACGCUGAGGCUCGAAGGCCAGGGUAGCGAAAGGGAUUAGAUACCCCUGUAGUCCUGGC